rnacentral:rRNA from 1 species
CUUUAAUGUUUGAUGUUCUAACGUUGACCCGUGAUCCGGGUUGCGGACAGUGUCUGGUGGGUAGUUUGACUGGGGCGGUCUCCUCCUAAAGAGUAACGGAGGAGCACGAAGGUUGGCUAAUCCUGGUCGGACAUCAGGAGGUUAGUGCAAUGGCAUAAGCCAGCUUGACUGCGAGCGUGACGGCGCGAGCAGGUGCGAAAGCAGGUCAUAGUGAUCCGGUGGUUCUGAAUGGAAGGGCCAUCGCUCAACGGAUAAAAGGUACUCCGGGGAUAACAGGCUGAUACCGCCCAAGAGUUCAUAUCGACGGCGGUGUUUGGCACCUCGAUGUCGGCUCAUCACAUCCUGGGGCUGAAGUAGGUCCCAAGGGUAUGGCUGUUCGCCAUUUAAAGUGGUACGCGAGCUGGGUUUAGAACGUCGUGAGACAGUUCGGUCCCUAUCUGCCGUGGGCGCUGGAGAACUGAGGGGGGCUGCUCCUAGUACGAGAGGACCGGAGUGGACGCAUCACUGGUGUUCGGGUUGUCAUGCCAAUGGCACUGCCCGGUAGCUAAAUGCGGAAGAGAUAAGUGCUGAAAGCAUCUAAGCACGAAACUUGCCCCGAGAUGAGUUCUCCCUGACUCCUUGAGAGUCCUGAAGGAACGUUGAAGACGACGACGUUGAUAGGCCGGGUGUGUAAGCGCAGCGAUGCGUUGAGCUAACCGGUACUAAUGAACCGUGAGG